GCCCGGGUGAUGAAAUUGGUAGACAUAGCGGACUUAAAAUCCGCAGCCGAUAUGGCAUACGGGUUCGAAUCCCGUCCUGGGCA
rnacentral:tRNA from 1 species